rnacentral:piRNA from 1 species
UAGACAUUGAACAAAUGCCCUACAGGCAGGUG